GGUUAAGCGACUAAGCGUACACGGUGGAUGCCCUGGCAGUCAGAGGCGAUGAAGGACGUGCUAAUCUGCGAAAAGCGUCGGUAAGGUGAUAUGAACCGUUACAGCCGGCGAUGUCCGAAUGGGGAAACCCAGUGUGAUUCGUCACACUAUCGUUAACUGAAUACAUAGGUUAACGAGGCGAACCGGGGGAACUGAAACAUCUAAGUACCCCGAGGAAAAGAAAUCAACCGAGAUUCCCCCAGUAGCGGCGAGCGAACGGGGAGCAGCCCAGAGUCUGAAUCAGCUUGUGUGUUAGUGGAACGGUCUGGAAAGUCCGACGGUACAGGGUGAUAGUCCCGUACACCAAAAUGCACAGGCUGUGAACUCGAAGAGUAGGGCGGGACACGUGGUAUCCUGUCUGAAUAUGGGGGGACCAUCCUCCAAGGCUAAAUACUCCUGACUGACCGAUAGUGAACCAGUACCGUGAGGGAAAGGCGAAAAGAACCCCGGCGAGGGGAGUGAAAAAGAACCUGAAACCGUGUACGUACAAGCAGUGGGAGCACCUUCGGGUGUGACUGCGUACCUUUUGUAUAAUGGGUCAGCGACUUAUAUUCUGUAGCAAGGUUAACCGUAUAGGGGAGCCGCAGGGAAACCGAGUCUUAACUGGGCGUUAAGUUGCAGGGUAUAGACCCGAAACCCGGUGAUCUAGCCAUGGGCAGGUUGAAGGUUGGGUAACACUAACUGGAGGACCGAACCGACUAAUGUUGAAAAAUUAGCGGAUGACUUGUGGCUGGGGGUGAAAGGCCAAUCAAACCGGGAGAUAGCUGGUUCUCCCCGAAAGCUAUUUAGGUAGCGCCUCGUGAACUCAUCUUCGGGGGUAGAGCACUGUUUCGGCUAGGGGGUCAUCCCGACUUACCAACCCGAUGCAAACUACGAAUACCGAAGAAUGUUAUCACGGGAGACACACGGCGGGUGCUAACGUCCGUCGUGAAGAGGGAAACAACCCAGACCGCCAGCUAAGGUCCCAAAGUCACAGUUAAGUGGGAAACGAUGUGGGAAGGCACAGACAGCCAGGAUGUUGGCUUAGAAGCAGCCAUCAUUUAAAGAAAGCGUAAUAGCUCACUGGUCGAGUCGGCCUGCGCGGAAGAUGUAACGGGGCUAAACUGUGCACCGAAGCUGCGGCAGCGACACUUAGGUGUUGUUGGGUAGGGGAGCGUUCUGUAAGCCUGCGAAGGUGGCCUGUGAGGGUUGCUGGAGGUAUCAGAAGUGCGAAUGCUGACAUAAGUAACGAUAAUGCGGGUGAAAAGCCCGCACGCCGGAAGACCAAGGGUUCCUGUCCAACGUUAAUCGGGGCAGGGUGAGUCGACCCCUAAGGCGAGGCCGAAAGGCGUAGUCGAUGGGAAACAGGUUAAUAUUCCUGUACUUGGUGUUACUGCGAAGGGGGGACGGAGAAGGCUAUGUUAGCCGGGCGACGGUUGUCCCGGUUUAAGCAUGUAGGCGGAGGUUCCAGGUAAAUCCGGUACCUUUUAACGCUGAGGUGUGAUGACGAGGCACUACGGUGCUGAAGUAACAAAUGCCCUGCUUCCAGGAAAAGCCUCUAAGCAUCAGGUAACAUUGAAUCGUACCCCAAACCGACACAGGUGGUCAGGUAGAGAAUACCAAGGCGCUUGAGAGAACUCGGGUGAAGGAACUAGGCAAAAUGGUGCCGUAACUUCGGGAGAAGGCACGCUGAUAUGUAGGUGAAGCCCCUGCGGGUGGAGCUGAAAUCAGUCGAAGAUACCAGCUGGCUGCAACUGUUUAUUAAAAACACAGCACUGUGCAAACACGAAAGUGGACGUAUACGGUGUGACGCCUGCCCGGUGCCGGAAGGUUAAUUGAUGGGGUUAUCCGUAAGGAGAAGCUCUUGAUCGAAGCCCCGGUAAACGGCGGCCGUAACUAUAACGGUCCUAAGGUAGCGAAAUUCCUUGUCGGGUAAGUUCCGACCUGCACGAAUGGCGUAAUGAUGGCCAGGCUGUCUCCACCCGAGACUCAGUGAAAUUGAACUCGCUGUGAAGAUGCAGUGUACCCGCGGCAAGACGGAAAGACCCCGUGAACCUUUACUAUAGCUUGACACUGAACAUUGAGCCUUGAUGUGUAGGAUAGGUGGGAGGCUUUGAAGCGUGGACGCCAGUCUGCGUGGAGCCAACCUUGAAAUACCACCCUUUAAUGUUUGAUGUUCUAACGUUGGCCCCUAAUCGGGGUUGCGGACAGUGUCUGGUGGGUAGUUUGACUGGGGCGGUCUCCUCCCAAAGAGUAACGGAGGAGCACGAAGGUUAGCUAAUCCUGGUCGGACAUCAGGAGGUUAGUGCAAUGGCAUAAGCUAGCUUGACUGCGAGCGUGACGGCGCGAGCAGGUGCGAAAGCAGGUCAUAGUGAUCCGGUGGUUCUGAAUGGAAGGGCCAUCGCUCAACGGAUAAAAGGUACUCCGGGGAUAACAGGCUGAUACCGCCCAAGAGUUCAUAUCGACGGCGGUGUUUGGCACCUCGAUGUCGGCUCAUCACAUCCUGGGGCUGAAGUAGGUCCCAAGGGUAUGGCUGUUCGCCAUUUAAAGUGGUACGCGAGCUGGGUUUAGAACGUCGUGAGACAGUUCGGUCCCUAUCUGCCGUGGGCGCUGGAGAAUUGAGGGGGGCUGCUCCUAGUACGAGAGGACCGGAGUGGACGCAUCACUGGUGUUCGGGUUGUCAUGCCAAUGGCAUUGCCCGGUAGCUAAAUGCGGAAGAGAUAAGUGCUGAAAGCAUCUAAGCACGAAACUUGCCCCGAGAUGAGUUCUCCCUGAGACUUUAAGUCUCCUGAAGGAACGUUAAAGACGAUGACGUUGAUAGGUCGGGUGUGUAAGCGUAGCGAUACGUUGAGCUAACCGAUACUAAUGAACCGUGAGGCUUAACCUU
rnacentral:rRNA from 1 species